UACCUUUUUUUGACAUAGUUUUUCAUUGGCCUAUAACCUUCGGAAGAUUUUGUUCAAUAUUUGGGUUUGCUUAAAAGUAAAAAAUGUCCUCCACAAUCGAUAACGCGCACUGUCGCCAAAUCACGUUUCGUCCGAAAAAAGCACAUUACGUCAUUGGGGUAAAAGACAUCCAUUCCUGUGUCCAAUGAAGUUGUGCAGCUAUGUGUCGAAACAAUAGUCUAAGAACGCGUAAGACUCUUCUAGGUCUUAAAUUGACCGCAUGAAGCCGCCAGUGGUAGCUGAUAUUGGUCUUCGGUACAUCCUUAAAAAGUGGCCACAUUACGCUUUGUUACUCUCGGGCGACCAGUUCCACGUCUUCUGUUUCCAGUUUCUUCGAGUAAAUUUACGACACGUACUACCGAACUUCUAGGAAGGAUGAUUUGACAAAUAUUAUUGAUGCAAAGCCACUAUUCGAAAUUACGUUUCCCGGCAUUUUCAAACAAAACAUAAACCGAUUUUAGGCGGAUAACCACAAUUUAUUGGUAAUUACCGCGGUUAUCCU